AACGAACGCUGGCGGCAUGCCUAACACAUGCAAGUCGAACGAAGGCUUCGGCCUUAGUGGCGCACGGGUGAGUAACGCGUGGGAAACUGCCAAUUGGUGGGGAAUAACGACGGGAAACUGUCGCUAAUACCGCAUAAGCCCUUCGGGGGAAAGAUUUAUCGUCGAUAGAUGUGCCCGCGUCCGAUUAGCUAGUUGGUGAGGUAAUGGAUAACCAAGGCGACGAUCGGUAGCUGGUCUGAGAGAAUGAUCAGCCACACUGGGACUGAGACACGGCCCAGACUCCUACGGGAGGCAGCAGUGGGGAAUAUUGGACAAUGGGCGAAAGCCUGAUCCAGCAAUGCCGCGUGAGUGAUGAAGGCCUUAGGGUUGUAAAGCUCUUUCGGGUGGGACGAUGAUGACGGUACCACCAGAAGAAGCCCCGGCUAACUUCGUGCCAGCCGCCGCCGUAA
rnacentral:rRNA from 1 species